rnacentral:lncRNA from 1 species
GCCCAGUUUACGGACUCGUGAACAGCGACUCUGUGAACCCAGUUCGCACACACUGAAUGCCGUGGGAUCCUGUUCGCGGCUGGCAGCUUUUUUUGGGUUGUUCAUUUCCCCUGCUUGGCACGAAUAGCUUUUUCAGACCUCUCCAGGGAUGUGGACUAUUUUGCAUUUGUAAGCCACCUUUAUGGAAAAGGGCCUGCAGGUUUGAAGGGCCCCGUAACCACUUACUCAGAGACGGGUCAAGGCCUCGUUCAUCGGAAAGUGGAAAUGCAUGGCACAGCUCUGCCCUGAUGCUGCUAAGUUUACUGAGUAAACGAAUGAGCGCAUUUUAA